CGCUGGCGGCGUGCCUAACACAUGCAAGUCGAACGGGGAUUUGUUUCGGCAGAAUCCUAGUGGCGAACGGGUGAGCAACGCGUAGGCAACCUGCCCUCCGGCCGGGGACAACACUCCGAAAGGGGUGCUAAUACCGGAUACGAAGUCUGUGCCGCAUGGUACGGAUUUGAAAGAUGGCCUCUAUUUAUAAGCUAUCGCCGGGGGAUGGGCCUGCGUCCGAUUAGCUGGUUGGUGGGGUAACGGCCUACCAAGGCGACGAUCGGUAGCCGGUCUGAGAGGAUGAGCGGCCACAUUGGGACUGAGACACGGCCCAGACUCCUACGGGAGGCAGCAGUGGGGAAUCUUCCGCAAUGGGCGCAAGCCUGACGGAGCAACGCCGCGUGAGUGAGGAAGUUCUUCGGAACGUAAAGCUCUGUUGUUCCUGACGAACCUCCCUUCUAUCAACAACGGAGGGGACUGACGGUAGGGAACGAGGAAGCCACGGCUAACUACGUGCCAGCCGCCGC
rnacentral:rRNA from 1 species